CGAAGCCUAUUUACCAUAAGCGAGGUAUAGAGUUCCUACGUGCAAAUUGCAAUAAUCGUAGGAACUUAAUACCGUGCUCUUGGAGGGCUGUCGAAC
rnacentral:pre_miRNA from 13 species